UCCUAGUUAACCUAGGCAGUUUCGCAUGAGAAAUACAACAUGCGACAAGGGUUGCGCUCGUUGCGGGACUUAACCCAACAUCUCACGACACGAGCUGACGACGACCAUGCAGCACCUGUCACCAGGUUCCUUGCGGCACUCUCCUGUUUCCAGGAGAUUCCCGGGAUGUCAAACCCUGGUAAGGUUCUCCGCUUAUCGUCGAAUUAAACCCCACGCUCCACCGCUUGUGCGGGUCCCCGUCAAUUCCUUUGAGUUUUAGUCUUGCGACCGUACUCCCCAGGCGGGGUACUUAACGCGUUAGCUUCGACACCCAGGGGGUCUAAUCCCCGAAUGCCUAGUACCCAUCGUUUACGGCGUGGACUAC
rnacentral:misc_RNA from 1 species